rnacentral:lncRNA from 1 species
UCAUGCUGAAGUUUUCUGGAGAUUAUCACAUGUAAAAUUGAUGCAGCCAAACUAAAGAUACGCUCCAUUGGUUCUUUCUAACGUCCCUGUUAAAGAAGCAGUAAAAAAUAGAAUAAUAAGAGAUGGAAAAUGUCAAAUUCACUUGGUCUACAACAAAGAAACCCUUUUAUUUUAUUGCUGUUCUUCAUAUUCAAGUUCACAGACCAGUCCUUCAACAAUGAGAAAAUGUUUAAAUAAAA